UACGAGGGGGGCAAGCGUUGUUCGGAAUUAUUGGGCGUAAAGGGCGCGUAGGCGGUGUCGCAAGUCCGUGGUGAAAUCUCUAGGCUCAACUUAGAGACUGCCGCGGAAACUGCGGUGCUUGAGUGUGGGAGAGGUGCGUGGAAUUCCCGGUGUAGUGGUGAAAUGCGUAGAUAUCGGGAGGAACACCAGUGGCGAAGGCGGCUUUCUGGCCUGCUCUUGACGCUGAGGCGCGAAAGCUAGGGUAGCAAACGGG
rnacentral:rRNA from 1 species